CCAAUAGCGUAUAUUAAAGUUGUUGCAGUUAAAAAGCUCGUAGUUGAAUUUCGGGAUCGAUACUUCGGUCGUGCCUUUGGUAUGUACUGGGGUUAUCGAUUUCUCCCUUCUGAGGAACCAUGAUGUCAUUAAUUUGGUGUCGUGGGAAAUCAGGACUGUUACUUUGAAAAAAUUAGAGUGUUUAAAGCAGGCAUACGCUUGAAUACAUUAGCAUGGAAUAAUGAAAUAGGACGUUCGAACCUAUUUUGUUGGUUUCUAGGAUCAACGUAAUGAUUAAUAGGGAUAGUUGGGGGCAUUAGUAUUCAAUUGUCAGAGGUGAAAUUCUUGGAUUUAUUGAAGACUAACUACUGCGAAAGCAUUUGCCAAGGAUGUUUUCAUUAAUCAAGAACGAAAGUUAGGGGAUCGAAGACGAUCAGAUACCGUCGUAGUCUUAACCAUAAACUAUGCCGACUAGGGAUCGGAUGAUGUUAAUUUUUUAAUGACUCAUUCGGCGCCUUACG
rnacentral:rRNA from 1 species